rnacentral:rRNA from 1 species
GAUGAACGCUGGCGGCGUGCUUAAUACAUGCAAGUCGAACGAAGAGCUUUUGUAGCAAUACGAGAGCUUCUUAGUGGCGAACGGGUGCGUAACGCGUUGGUGACCUGCCCCGAAGUGUGGGAUAACAGUUCGAAAGGAUUGCUAAUACCGCAUGUGGUCGUUGGAUUUAGAAACCGAUGACUAAAGCAGUAAUGCGCUUUGGGAGGGACCUGCGUCCCAUCAGCUAGUUGGUGAGGUAACGGCCCACCAAGGCUACGACGGGUAGGGGGCCUGAGAGGGUGGCCCCCCACAAUGGAACUGAAACACGGUCCAUACACCUACGGGUGGCAG